CCUUUGUGAUUCUCCAUAUUAACGGCGCAGAGCAAGAUGAUAGCUUUUGAACACCAUUCAGAGUAUCCUCUAAUAUCCGUAUGUCCUGUGCUUCUUGAGUGGCAAGCAAAUGAAUUGCCAAAAGAAGGUUUCCUUGGAGCUCUACCAAUUUUGGUUGGUGAUAUUGAUCUGCGUCAAUAUGAAUUGGAGAAGGGGACUGUUAAGAACUUCUCAUCUUUCAUACCAUAUGAUACAGUCUUCUUUGAUUUUAG
rnacentral:lncRNA from 1 species